UUGUAAAGUUGCGUUCGGCAACAAUCGGCAUUUUCCGGACGUAAACAAAAGUUCGACCAAAUGCGUGCGGAGCAUGUGUGUUCAUGUUCAUGCAAUAUCAGUAUCUUUUUUCAGUAGUUUUUCAUUAAUUUUCAAGUUCUCAUCUCAUUUCAAGCAUUCUUAUUCUGCCAGCCUUGCAGUUUUGAUUUUGAGAAAGUAUUUUGCUCUUGGUAACUUCGGACUUCUCUGUUAUCAAGAAGUGUCACUUCGGAUUUUUUCUACACUUCCAAUUACUUCGGUGUCUGGUCAAUUCAGUCAUUUUUCCCGGUAGUAAUCAAAGAUUUUCAUUAUUGAAAUCUCUCUCCAAGGAAUGGUUCUCAGCUUAUCCAUUAAUGGCAGCAAUCUACUUGAUGAUCUCAUCCCUGGGAACGACAUGUAAGCACGGAGCAAACCUCUGGAUGUUUCAAGGGAUUUUCAGCCUACUGUCACGUCACUUAUCAUUCUCAAAAGUAACUAAGCGGGGAUCCAUGUCAUUUGCUUCAAGGUUACAUAAGUGUUGGGAAACAGGCAAUGAAGACCAUGGCAGGACCUCGAAGAGUUAUCACUAUGUUGAAAUGUACACACUGUCAUAG
rnacentral:lncRNA from 1 species